CCCUGAGUAAAGUGGCGUACGGGUGAGUAACACGUGGAUCAUCUACCUCUUAGUGGGGAAUAACUCUGGGAAACCGGAGCUAAUACCGCAUAAGCCUGGAAAGGGAAAGUCGCAAGACGCUGAGAGAGGAGUCCGCGGCCGAUUAGCUAGUUGGCAGGGUAAAAGCCUACCAAGGCAUUGAUCGGUAGCCGGCCUGAGAGGGCACACGGCCACACUGGCACUGAAACACGGGCCAG
rnacentral:rRNA from 1 species